rnacentral:rRNA from 1 species
UACGUAGGGUGCGAGCGUUGUCCGGAAUUAUUGGGCGUAAAGAGCUUGUAAGCGGUUUGUCGCGUCUGCUGUGAAAAUCCGGGGCUCAACCCCGGACUUGCAGUGGGUACGGGCAGACUAGAGUGUGGUAGGGGAGACUGGAAUUCCUGGUGUAGCGGUGAAAUGCGCAGAUAUCAGGAGGAACACCUAUUGCGAAGGCAGCUCGCUGGGACGUUACUGACGCUGAGACGCGAAAGCGUGGGGAGCAAACAGG